rnacentral:tRNA from 1 species
AUUAGAGCCUUAGUAGUAUAGUUAAUACACUGGUCUUGUAAACCGGA